rnacentral:tRNA from 1 species
GGUCCUGUGCUGCUCAGUCGGUAGAGCAUGGUGCUUGCAACACCAAGAUCGUGAGUCGAUUCCCACUGUGGCCA